UACGAAGGGGGCUAGCGUUGUUCGGAUUCAUUGGGCGUAAAGGGUGCGUAGGCGGUCUUCUAAGUUUGAUGUGAAAUCCCGGGGCUCAACCCUGGAAUUGCAUUGAAUACUGGAGGACUAGAGUACUGGAGAGGAAACUGGAAUUUACGGUGUAGCAGUGAAAUGCGUAGAGAUCGUAAGGAAGACCAGUGGCGAAGGCGAGUUUCUGGACAGUAACUGACGCUGAGGCACGAAGGCCAGGGGGAGCAAACGGG
rnacentral:rRNA from 1 species